GGUGGCGCUGGCGAGUGUCGGGAUCGCCGCGCAUCUGUCGCAUCUGCCAUUGGCGGCAGCGAUGGUCGCGCUGGCGCUGCUG
rnacentral:tRNA from 1 species